GGGUCAGUAGGUUGGUCGAGCCACCGGUAGGUACUGGUCUCACUGAUUCCUCCUUCCUGAAGACCGUAAUGCCAUUUAUUUGGUGUUGCGGGGAAACAGGACUGUUACUUUGAAAAAAUUAGAGUGUUUAAAGCAAGCUAACGCUUGAAUACAUUAGCAUGGAAUAAUGAAAUAGGACGAUCGAUCCUAUUUUGUUGGUUUCUAGGAUUGACGUA
rnacentral:rRNA from 1 species